UGGUAUGAUCCAGUUAGGACACCACCCACUUCCUCCCUUCCUUGUCACCGAGGCUGGAUCAAAAAGAGAAAGCGCUGCUUUCUGCUCAGGCUUUAGCUCCAGGAUUCUCGAGCCAGGAGGAACAAGAUUCUUCAUUCAGCUCCAUGGACCUGAGGCCCAGACUGAACUCAGGCCUAUGGCUAGACCUCUCUAUCUCUAAGAAGAAGGAAGUGCUGGAACCAGAAAAGAGGAAAUAUGAUUUCAACAAACCAACCAACCAACCAACCAACCAACCAACCAACCAACCAAACCUCCAACCCCGAGCUAUUUGUGUGCUUGUUUUUGUCCUGGUGGGGAUGGAACUCAAGGCCUCACACAUUAGCUAAGCACUGUCACUGAGCUAUCCCCUCAGCCCCAAGGAGAAGCUGUUUAAAUUAAUCUCUGUGUAGUCCUGGCUGUCCUGGAACUCACUCUGUAGACCAGGCUGGCCUCGAACUCAGAGAUCUGCCUGCCUCUGCCACCUGAGUAUUGGAAUUAAAAUUGUGCACCACCACCAACCCACUUGUUUAUUUAUUUAUUUGUUUGUUUGUUUGCUACAGGAUCUCACUAUGUAGCAUAGGAUAAUCUAGAACUGCCUCUGUAGUCCAGGAUUGCCUUGAACUCACAGAAAUCCACCUGUCUUUGCUUCCUAAGGCCUGGGAUUAAAGACCUUUGCCACUAUGCUUGGCAAAGAUUGAGCUUUUUAGAGGAAUAAUAAAAAUAUUGUUUGUUUGUUUGUUAGGUUCAAGACUCCUGAAGCUCAUUUUGUAGACUAGGGUGGCCUUGAACUCACAGAGAUCCAACUGCCUCUGCCACCAUCACCAUCCCUCCCUGCCAUGGUGUGUGCCUGGGAUUAAAGGCCUGUGCCACCGUGCCUGGCAAUAAACAACAACAAAAUCCCCAAACAAAUGGAAAUCUGUACGUUUCAUGCUCACCAUAUACAGUGUGAGACCACACUAUUCACCUCUGUCUCCGGCUUUAUGCCCCUACAGAGAGACCACAGAGAAUUUCAGAUCCAGAACCUUCAGCUCUGAUUUCACCAGAUAACCCCUCCACUCCUCUUUCUUGUGUGCACAGCACCUGGACUCUUACCUAACGAAGAGAAACCCUUUCCCUGGCUUUCCCUGGGAUGCCUCUCACCCGGAAGCUAUU
rnacentral:lncRNA from 1 species